GUGAACGCUGGCGGUAGGCCUAACACAUGCAAGUUGAACGGCAGCACAGUAAGAGCUUGCUCUUACGGGUGGCGAGUGGCGGACGGGUGAGGAAUACAUCGGAAUCUACUUUUUCGUGGGGGAUAACGUAGGGAAACUUACGCUAAUACCGCAUACGACCUACGGGUGAAAGCAGGGGAUCUUCGGACCUUGCGCGAUUGAAUGAGCCGAUGUCGGAUUAGCUAGUUGGCGGGGUAAAGGCCCACCAAGGCGACGAUCCGUAGCUGGUCUGAGAGGAUGAUCAGCCACACUGGAACUGAGACACGGUCCAGACUCCUACGGGAGGCAGCAGUGGGGAAUAUUGGACAAUGGGCGCAAGCCUGAUCCAGCCAUACCGCGUGGGUGAAGAAGGCCUUCGGGUUGUAAAGCCCUUUUGUUGGGAAAGAAAAGCAGCAGGUUAAUACCCCGCUGUUCUGACGGUACCCAAAGAAUAAGCACCGGCUAACUUCGUG
rnacentral:rRNA from 1 species